UCUCCGUAGGUGAACCUGCGGAGGGAUCAUUACAGAGUUCUCGCCCUCACGGGUAGAUCUCCCACCCACUGUUAUCGUUACUGUCGUUUCUUUGGCGGGCCGCCGGGUCCCCGGCCGCCGGCGCCUAGCUGCCGGCGCGCGCCCGCCAGAGGCCUUCAAACUCUGAAUGUUAGUGUCGUCUGAGUACUAUAUAAUAGUUAAGACUUUCAACAACGGAUCUCUUGGUUCUG
rnacentral:misc_RNA from 1 species